CCUAGGUGGGAAGAAUGUGUGUCCUGAUACGAAUAGACCCAGGGUGUGGACGUGGUCUCCGCCACAACCUUCCCCCAGCCGUGAAUGUGCUGCUAGCCUUGCCCAGCUCAGUGGGAGGGCUGAGGAGGCUACGGGACGGCGGCGUCACCCGCACCCGUGCCCACCUGCUCCCGCCGCUUCUGCCAGCGGCCACACGGGCUCUCCUCCAGGAUGUCGCUCUCGUCCUCGCUCUCGUCCUCCCGCUCGCGCUCCCGGCCUCUCCUCGGCGCCGGCUCCGGGGCCGCCAUGGCUCGGCGAGCCCAGGCCGCCGCCCUCCGCGCAAGCCCUCGCCCCGCUCCCGCCCGCCCUGGCCCAGCGCCCAGCAGCCCAACCUGGAGCCCAGCGGAGCGGCCGCCGCGAGCCCUCCUCGGCUCCGGGAAUUGGGAGGCGCGGGCUCGCAGCGGACCCGAGGGAGGAGCCGCCCCGCCCCUCCGGAGCCGCCUCUGCAGGCCGGUGCUGGACUGUAGCUCGAUCCAGGGCGGCAGAACCCCGCCCCAGGCACGCCUCGUCCUCCCAGACCACUCCUGCUUCCCCCAAAGCUCCGCCUCAAAGAGACGCGCCCCUCAAAGGCACCACCCAUUCCUGCGGAGGCCUCUCCAAGGUUUCCCAGGCAGCUGUGGUUCUCCCAGCAGACUGUGCCUGGCCUCUUCGGGAACCACUUUUGCCCAACUCUUGAAGCCAGUUCUUCCAGCACCGCAUCCCGAUCCUGCUCCCAUGACAAGUGUCCUGAACUCGGCCCGAUGUAGAGAGUCUGAAUGGGGCAUCAAGGGUCAAGGGCAUCUGGGGGCAGGCACUUCAGUGGUAAGAAACCAUAUGGUCUCAGAAAUGGGACCAGUUCCCUCCUCAGGUAGCCAAGGAACGCAUCACUAAAGAUGCACCGCAGCAGAGACUGAUGGGAUACUCUUUAAAUCCUGACUGCCUGUCUCUUCCUGGACCAGAAUUCCGUGCAAACCCACUUUUCAUAAUGGCGAGUUUCUCUUUUCUCCCCAAAUGUGACGCUCUCCGUUCCACUAUGGGCUCCCUUGAAGCAAUGGAACCACGAAGAGGGAGCAUUUCUCACUUGUCACAUCCAGCAGACUCCCCCACCCCCCGAAAACCUCUAUCCACCCCUCAACUGCCCUCAGUCCUACCUCUGCCCUUCUACCCACCGGCACCUCCCCUUUCUAUAUAGAGACCCUGGCUGUCCUCUGAUUUAAACAUCAUCUGACCCCUGACCAGCUCUGCCCCCCACUCUGCUCCUGACUUCUGUCAUAGCCCGCUCAGAAUGCUGCAGCUUGCUGUGGACUUCUACCUAUCCUGAGAAGGGUUAGCUAGUUUAGCAGAUCAGGAGGGGUUAACCCUCUACUGGCCCUAGAAGUCAGAACAGGGCCAAUGCUUGGAAGACAAUUCCCAUGUCCUUGGAUCUACCUAUUUGUGUCUGUUUAACUAGGACCCUAGCCACACUGGAGAGUCUGCACUAAGAACACAAAUGAUGAAGAGCCUUGUACCACAGUGUUAGCAGAGCCUCUUGGGGGGGGGGCAGGCACUACAGAUAGAACCCGUUUUUUAAAAAUGUGACAUUGAGGGCUCGUUGGUUAAGAGUACUUCUGCUCUUGCAGAAGACCCAAGUUCAAUUCCCAGCACUCACACAAGUUCACAAUUACCUGUUACUCCACUUCCAGGGGAUCUGCUGCCCUCUUCUGGUCUUGAUGGGUACCAAACGCACAUACAUGUAGGCACUCAUUAUCACAUACACAUAAAAUAAACCUUAAAAACAAUGCACAACACCAAGGCUAGUGGCACGCACAGAUCACAGCUGGCAGUAGCACAUGCUGUCUAAGAACUGUAGGGGACAGGGUAACUGGAUGCUCACACAGACGUCCCCUAGGUUCCAUUCCACAAGACGUUUGCUACAGCUGGUUUCUCUAAGCAGCCUUUGUGGAGGUCAAACCUGCCCUCCUGACUGUUUGCUGCACUUGACAGGCCCAUCCAUCCCUCUUUGUGCUGACUGUGACUUAUACAUAGAAUGCAUCUUCUGUCACCCGUUGAGGCCACGUCCUUCAGGUGUUGACUCAGGUGUCAUCUCUCCGACAAGACAUCCCUAGGCUCCAUGCUUGCACACCCUGUCUCCUCCCUAGCCUCACGAGACUUUCCCAUGACAUUUGGCGCUGGACCUGCCUGUGUUGGUCUGUUUCAUCUGUCCAUGAUGGAAUGUGGAUCUAUAAGGGCAGGGUGUCUGCUCUUGGUGCCAAGGGUAAUGUUCAUCACAUGCCACGCCCUCAUCAAUGGUGUGAUGGAUGCGUGGGAGAAGGAUGCAUGAAGGCUUAGUAGGUGGUCCAAAGAGUCUCCCGAGGCAGCUGCAUAGGAACCAAACCUCAAUUCAUUUUCUUCCCUAUAGCCAGUCCCAUGUCAAACAGGUAUGUGCACUCUAACCCCUAGUACCUGGGAAAUGGCCUUAUUUUGAGACAAACUCUUGUUGGAUCUAGAGAGGACUCUGGAAUCCAACAUUGGGCAUGGAGUCUGAGGCUGAGGUGUGUUCUUGGUCACUUUCCUCAGCUACUGCUCCAGACCCAGUUGCCCUCCUGUCUCCGCCUCUACUCCUGUCCAUCUUCCCAUCCUGCCAGAUGCUUACUAUUAAUGUCCUCUGGGCACACCCCGUCUCAAUGGUCAUCUGCUCCCUUGACAUCUUGUCUUGUGCUUUAGCACUCAAUUCCUUUCUCCUACCUCUUGUAGCUCUCCCAGGGAUCCUUGGGUGUCCCUUCUGGGUCUCUCCGAGGCUGUCCCUGCUGAAGGGUAGGCAGCCGAUGUCUGGUUUCUGAAUUCCUGACCAUUUCUUUCCCUCUGGCAGGUGGCUUUCCAGGCUUAGACAGAUGUUCCCUGAGGCCAGAUAUUCCAGGGAGGAAGAGAGAAGGCCCCUCGCCUCAUGGGCAGCACCCGGCAUUGUGUUUUUUCGAAACUUGCCUCAAAGACCAGAGGAAAGCGGUAGUGAGAGGCUGGCCCCUUUGGGAUGGGCACAAGGCCGUGGCUUCUGUUCUCGUUCCAAGGAAACCAAUAUUGAUCUUCCAAGCUCCUUUGGGGAGCUCACCCCAUGUGGCAGGAAACUACUGCUUCCCGACAACAGUCAAUGAGGGCCAAACAGCCUCUCUGUAACUUAAGUUUGGAAGCGGUUCCUAGGGAGUGUGUGUGUUUGGAAGCGACCAACGGAGGGGGAAAAGAAAAAAAUCAGCUGUUUCAAGAGAUUUCAGGAGAAUUGACAUCUAUUUAAUCAUUACUCACUACUAGGAAAUAGAAGCAGCAGUGCUAAAUGGAAGUGAUGGGUCCUGCAGCCAAGCGCUCCUUGGGUACCAGGCCCCUCCUCAAGUGAUGGAACUCCAUCAUACCCACCAAACGGCCUCCGAGGAUGACUUGAGGAUUGCGUUUUUAUUCAUUUCAACAAUGUGCCCAAAAGAUCAAUUUGCACUUGGUCAAUACAACAGAACAGACAAAUACAUGUGUGCUGUGUGGCGGGCACUGCUCUCCGUGGAUGAGCUUUGAGCUCUUUGUGGGUUAUCAGUAGUCACAGCAUUCAGAAUGCAGGAGACUCAACAACCAUUCAGCUGCCUUCGGAGGAGAAGGAGGAGGGGGGAGGAGGAGACUAAUGUGGACAUACAAGUUAUUUCUCUUGUUGAGAAGUCUUACUGGAUGCCACAGGAAGGCUUAUUCGCUUUUCAAUAUUGGCUAAAAAAAAUAGAUGGAAGUCUAAAACAACAAUGAACUUGUGAUACAAUGUAACAUUUCCCUUCUCUUUAAGAGAGCAAUUAUUACCAGGCAGUUAUUGAUGGGUGGUGGUGGCCCCCCAUAUCUUUUAUCCCAGCACUGGGGAGGCAGAGGAAGGCAGAUGUCUGCGAGUUUAAGGCCAGCCUGGUCUACAGAGCAAGUUCCAGGAUAGCCAGGGUUACACAGAGAAAUGCUUUCUUGGAAAAAACAAAAACAAAAGCAGAGGGGGUUAUUUGAGCUAUCCUAACAGAUACCACAGGAGGCAUGGUAAGUUAAAAAGCAGGAAUUAAUUUUCUCAUAGAAGUCCAGGAUCCCAGAGUCAGGAUCUCUCCUGAAGCUCUCCCCUUGACAUGUGAACAGGUUCUCCUCUCAACAUCCUUGAACAAUACCGGUCUGUAUGUGACUGUCUUAACUCCUUUCUUCCUUUGUUUCUUUUCUUUCUUCCUAGAUUUACCUUAUUGUAUGUGCAGUGCUUUGGCUGCGCAUGUUGUAUGUGCUGCGUUCAUGAAGUGCCCAUUGAGGCCAGAAGCAAGUCGGCAGUUACAGGCAGUUGUGACCCUCCAUGAUGGUUCUGAGAAUGGAACCUGAGUCCUCUGGAAGAGCAGAAAGUGCUUUGAGCUGUUGUGGUGGCUUGAAUAUGCUUGGCCCAGGAAAGGAGAUGUGGCCUUAUUGGAGGAAGUGUGUCACUGGGGGGUGGGCAAUGAGACCCUUCUCCCAGCUACCACAUGGAAGCCAGUCUUCUCUUAGUGGCCUUCAGAUGAAGGUGUAGAACUCUCAGUUCCUCCUGCACCAUGCCUGCCUGGAUGUUACCAUGCUCCUGCCUUGAUGAUAAUGGACUGAACCUCUGAACCUACUCCCAACCUCUGUGACUGGGAAGACAAGAAGAAAGCAAAUGGUACCAUCGGGCCUUGAUGGCGCUGCUUUGAAAUUUGACUUAGAGGAGUGAAUUGAGGGUGCCACAGAGCACAGCUUCUUCCAGAGAAAUCUGAUUGUGACUUUGAAUGUCAUUGGUCUGGAGCCUUGUUACCUGAAUUCCAGACCUUAUUUUCUGAAGACCAGCCAGUGGGCGUGUAUGUCUGAGAGUGGAGUUGGCACACCUAUCUGUACUUCCUGGAUCCUGAGAUUAUUAGUGUGAGCUGCCACAUCCAGUCUUCAGGACCUUCAAAACAGAUGUCUGAGGGGUCUGCACUUUUUGCAUCUUUGCUGAUCCCAAGGCAAUCCUGUAUCGAAGAAGGCCCAGCUCCUUCUGUGUCUACAACAGUUAAAUGUGCCAAUGUGCCAGAUCCCUGGGCAACGCAGGAAUUAGGUGCUUUCUGCCCAUCCAGCGUCUCAGGCCUGGUGUGGGAGGGAAGUCACCCAUGUGUUUUGCUGUGAAGUCACAUGUGUUCCCACUGUGGGCUCCCACCCCAGCCUCCACACAAGAAAACCUGCAGGGGCUCGCUCAGCUGGGUAACAUACACCUCUCUCACUCUUGUUGCCCCCACUCUGCUCUGCGUUGGGUGGCUCCCUGCCCUUUUGGGUUUGUCAAGCAACUCCUCCUGAGCCUGGCUAGUCAAGGACACCAGGCAAACUGAGUGAGGGAAAGAGGUCAAGCACUGGAGUGCCCUGCCACAAUCUGUCCUUCAUGUCACCAGGAAAAAGGAACGACUCGUAUGUUGGCAGCUGGACAAGAAGUCAUGUCUGACCUGUAGGAAAUAAAGCAGCCAGAACCUGGUUAAUACCUGGCA